rnacentral:miRNA from 1 species
CAGUCGCUAAUACUCUGCCAC